UCAUUGUGUUUCACCGAUAGAGAGAGAGAGGAGAAGAAAAGAAGAGAAAUCCUAAACCUAUGCAAACUUCCACCGUCCAUAACUUUUGAUUUUGAACUUCGAUUAACGGGCUGUUUGCAGCCAUGUAAUCUUUUCAUUAAGCUUUUCGAUUCUAAUCCAACAAAGUGAUUAUUAGUGAAUUUUAUCCCAAUUUUGAGUGAGUAAGAUUGUGUGCAUAUGAAAUUGAAGUUAAAUGGAAGGUGUUAAAUGCUUGAUUUGAAGCAAUUGUGGCUGAACUAGAUGAAUUGGAGUUUGGAACAUUUGGAAGCUUGUGCGGAGAAGAGGGUUUUGAGGUAUUUUGGUUUAGAAAGAAAUUGGUCAAAGUAUGAUUUUAGUUUCUCGAAGUUAAUGUAUAAUAUUACAUAAAAAUUUAGGUUAGUAGAUUUUAAGAUAUUGUUGAAUUGAUAUGGUUGAUGAUGGCUUAGCUUGAUAUGUGAUUUUGGUAUGUAUUAUGUGUGUUGACAUGAGUAUUGAAAUUGGAGUUUGUAUGUUGAUUUAGAUUUAAAGUAUGUGAAUUGAGAUGUUUUGGUAGUGACUAAUGUCGUUGUUGAAUUUGGAAUAUUGGCAUGACUUGUGUAUGUCAGUAUACUUUUAUAAAAGUUUGAAUUGGUAUAAAGAAUGAGAUAUGAAUGAUGUAUGUGGAUACAUUCGUUGGAAUUUAAAUUUGGUAUGUGGAGAAAUGAUUUAUGAUGAGUUGAGAUUGAGGGUUAGAGAAUCAUAGUUUUAAAUCGAGUGAGGAUUUUAAAAUAAGGAUUGAUGUUGUUUUCAAAAGAAAAGAUUUGGGAAAAAUAUUGAUUUUGGGUGUUGUAGAAUUUUUAGGUAAAAAUGAAUUUUGACCAAUUUUGGCGGGACAUAAUUUAGCUUUCAUACUCUCAAAUUUUGUGAAACUUGUGUGAAUAAAAAUUGGGUCCAUAAAGUUUAUGAUGUUCAAAUAACGAAAUAAAAAUUAUUUUUAAUGAAAAAAUUAUGCGUAUUUGGAAUUUAGGUUGUAAAACUGAAUUCUGCAGCAAAUUUUUGAAAACUAGAAACUCUGGUAUGCGUGUGUACGCACACUAUCGUGCGCACGCAUAGACCAGAGCGUGUGGGAAGCUUGUGCAUACGCACGAGGGGGUGUGCGUACGCACACCUUGGGGAUUUUACAAAUUGUGCGUACGUACACCAAAGAAAGCUCGUCUGGUGCGUGCGUACGCACAGUACCAUGCGUACGCACGAUGCCCUAUUUUAUACUAAAACUUUUUAACUGCUCAACCUUCCCGGAAAGCUUGUAAACCACUGUUUUGUUAAAAAUUUGUGAUUUUUGAACUAUCAAUCAUUCUUCUAAGUUUUUCAAACUUCUGAAAACUCUGUUUAAGAUCCGAUAAUUAGAAUUAGGCUUAAGAAAGAGAGUGAACCUAUUGACAUAAUUAAAUUGACAUUGAAGAAGAGUUGUGAAAUGAAUAAUUUAAUUUAUGAUGCAUGGAUAAUGUUAAAUGAUUGAGAUAUUGAGAAUGACGAGAUUGAUUUUAAUAAUGACUUCAAGGAAUAGAAAUGAUAUUAAAAAUGAGAUUGAAUUUGAUUGUCAUAUGUCACUGGCUAAGAGGCAAUGGCGUGUCCACUUGCUUCCGGUAUAAUUGAAGAUUUCGGGUAAGAUGUAAUGGCGUUGUCCACUUGCUCCAGGUACACGGGUAAGAUGCGAGGGUUGCGAUUUGGUCCCACUUGCUCCAUAUUUGGUGUUUUUGUCCAGGAUUUGCUACUAGACAUGUCGGGUUUGGCUAUAUAACCGAUAGAUGAGACUCAUCGACCAUAGGACAGGCAUACAUCAUAUGCAUUUGUAUGAUUUGUUUGGGUAUGCAUUUGUCUUGGUUUGCCUAAUUGCUUAUUUGUAAUUAAUUGCUACUUGUCCUAUCUGUUGUAACUGCUAUCUAUAUCUGUGGUUUUUUGUCUAUUUUGUUUGUACUUGUAUCUAAGAGACCGCUCAUAUGGUGGAGGCGUGAUGAAAAUUGUUUCAUCGGUGAUUCGGAAGUUUGGAGAAGACAGAAGGUGCAAAGUUAGACUAGGGCUAGAAUUUCUGAGUAAGAUUACUUAUAUUAUUGGUUUAGAAUAAAUUUUAAGAUUAAUCUAAGUGUCGGAAUUUUAGAAAUGCCUUUACCUUUUUCGGGACCUUAUAUAUUAUCUAUGUUGGCACUUUCACCAUACUGAGAACUUCCGGUUCUCAUUCCAUAUAUAUAUAUAUUAUUGUUUUCAGAUGCAGGAUGCGAGGCACCUCACUAAAUAUUCUGGAGACUCUUUGGAACUAAAAACUCUUGUAGUCUCACUUUCUAAUAAAUAAUCAUUCUUUUAUUAUAUAUUAUUUUUAAAUUAUUUUCAAUCCCUAUGGUCUUCUCCGAAAAUGAAAAUAUCACCGUCAUAUAAGCCUUCUCUCUAAAUUUGUUUUCCUCUCCAGCCACACCUAUUCGUGCCAAUCAAAAUUUAAUUAUAAUUUUUAUUUUUU